rnacentral:rRNA from 1 species
GAUGAGCGCUGGCGGCGUGCCUAAUACAUGCAAGUCGAGCGAACGGACGAGAAGCUUGCUUCUCUGAUGUUAGCGGCGGACGGGUGAGUAACACGUGGAUAACCUACCUAUAAGACUGGGAUAACUUCGGGAAACCGGAGCUAAUACCGGAUGAUACUUUGAACCGCAUGGUUCAAAAGUGAAAGACGGUCUUGCUGUCACUUAUAGAUGGAUCCGCGCUGCAUUAGCUAGUUGGUAAGGUAACGGCUUACCAAGGCAACGAUGCAUAGCCGACCUGAGAGGGUGAUCGGCCACACUGGAACUGAGACACGGUCCAGACUCCUACGGGAGGCAGCAGUAGGGAAUCUUCCGCAAUGGGCGAAAGCCUGACGGAGCAACGCCGCGUGAGUGAUGAAGGUCUUCGGAUCGUAAAACUCUGUUAUUAGGGAAGAACAUAUGUGUAAGUAACUGUGCACAUCUUGACGGUACCUAAUCAGAAAGCCACGGCUAACUACGUG